rnacentral:rRNA from 1 species
UACGUAGGGGGCGAGCGUUAUCCGGAAUUAUUGGGCGUAAAGAGUACGUAGGUGGUUUCGUAAGCGAGGGGUGAAAGCCCGGGGCUUAACUCCGGCGAGCCUUUCGAACUGCGAGACUUGAGUGCAGGAGGGGGAAGUGGAAUUCCUAGUGUAGCGGUGAAAUGCGUAGAUAUUAGGAGGAACACCGGUGGCGAAGGCGACUUUCUGGACUGUAACUGACACUGAGGUACGAAAGCGUGGGGAGC